CGGCCGGCCCCAACCAAGCGCUGCCGCCCGCCGCGCCCGCCGCCCCCAACCACCGGCCGCCAUGCAACUCUCUCCUCCGGCCGCCGUGCGCGUCCCAACCCCGGCCGUCGCGCGCCUCCUACCCCGGCCGUCGCGCGCCUCCGACCCCACCCGUCGCUCGCCUCCGACCCCUGGCCGCCGCGCGCCUCCCUCCACCCGGCUCCCUGUGCAGCUAUGGAGUCCGUCCUGGCUGAUCUGCUCUAGCCGUUCAACUUUGGGUCUUCCGGCCGCUCGGCCAGCGGAGCUCGACGAAGAGCAGCCCGGUCUCACUUGUGUGUGGAGUUCUGAGCAUCUUCUACCGCUGUGUUCUGCUCUCUUCUAUUUUCAACUGAAUGCGCUGCCAUGUGUGGAUUUACUCUCGACUCGCCGGGGUGGAGCUCCUCCGCCUCUAGCCGUCGAUCCAUAGUUCAUUGUCAGUACAGGCUCUGAAGCUGCCCAGUACAUGUUGGGGGACAUUUCUGGAAUCACGUAUCCUUCUUGCAGCUGUAAUUUUGAUUGCAUAGCAGUAUAGUUUAGUUGUCUCUGAAGUUUUGAUUCACAGCAGUACAAUUUAGUCCCAGCUGCCAUGAUUCUGCAAACCAUUGUGCUACCAAAAAGAUGGUGCUUUGUUGCAACAAAUUGUGGGGAAAAUGCAGUGAAAUAGGGCCAGUACAAGCAGAUGGUGCUUUGUUCUGUAGGCUGCCACUGUUCUGCCUGUCCGGUAAUAGCGACGGCGAGACGAACACCGCGCGCGCACCUGUGUGACAUGAAGCAGAGGCAUCACUAUGGCCGCGUACAGAGUGUUGGGACUGCAACAAUUCCCAAGGUCUAAAGCGUAGAGGAUGUGCUUGUGAGCUGUGAUGUUCUGAACUUGUGAUAUAUCUGCGGCGGUGAGAGGCAGACCCGCUCAUGUUACUCCAUCUCCCAAGCUAAGUUUUCUGCUGUUUUUGAUGUUAUUCCUAAAAGAAAAUCAUUUAUACAUGGCCAAUGUGAAUGUGCAGUCUGGUGUAGUGCAAAAGAAUAGUCACGUCUGUGGUUAAUUAGCUGAGCAUGCAGGGCCUGUUUGAGCUUUAGGUGGAGAACUAGUUGGAUACUAGCGUUUUUGGAAAAUCAAGUUGUUCUUUCUUUACAUGAUUUACAAACUCACAUUGCAUUCUCCUGUUGCUUUACUCUUCCAUCUCAUAUUGCUUCAUUCUAUAUGAUUUGAGUUAUCUAAAAGAGUUUUUGUUCCUGCUAUCUACAGAGAUACAUUCUUUUAACUGAAAAAUGAUGUAUCUGGCGGCCACCACUCCUUGGAACUUUUCUUCCAUCUGCUUGUACGCAGACCAUGGUGCUUCACUUUGUUCUUAUCUUUUUUUAUUUUGUGCAGCCAGUCAGUGCUUCUUCUUGAUCUCCUGACCACCAGCGCCGCUUCUUCCGGGCCUUCUGCUCAUGGCGCUCGAGCUGUCUGUACAUUUUUUCCUCAGUUCUAAAUUCCCAGAGCGCCAGUCCAACUACAUAUCAGGCCGUGGAUUGCGCCCAGCACGUCGUUCCGCAGUGAGCCAGGAUAGAGGUUGUUGGACACUGUCGUGCACACCUGCGUGUAUGGAAGGCCGAGAAGUUCCAUUGCCGGUAUACGCCAAGUUCAGAGGCGUUUCCGCCAACGGCGCCGAAGCAGCGGUCAAAAUUAAACUCGGUUCAUGUUUUGCAGUGCGGCUAUUGUUGCGAAUGAACUUGGCUGGUUGUAGCUGCUUGUACUAAACAUGUGUGCCUGUGUUAUCUUUGGUAAUCAAUGAUGCAGACUAAACAUGUGCUUGUGUUAUCUUUGGUACUCAAUGGUUGUAGUUGCUUGUACUAAACCAAGCUGGCUAAGGAUGAAGUACACGAUGCAGGCAAUGAGGACAACCAAAACAUGCAAUUCGUACA